CCUACGGGUGGCAGCAGUGGGGAAUAUUGGGCAAUGGGCGCAAGCCUGACCCAGCAAUGCCGCGUGAAGGAAGAAGGCUUUCGGGUUGUAAACCUCUUUGACAGGGGAAGAGACGAAUACGGUACCCUGAAUACAAGGCACGGCUAAAUACGGGCCAGCAGCCGCGGUAAUACGGAGGUGGAGAGCGUUAUCCGGGUUUUAUGGGUGGAAAGGGAGGGUUGACGGGCAGGCAAGUCAGGUGGGAAAGCCGUGGGCCCAACCCAAAGAGUUGAUUUGAAACUGGAUUGCUUGAGGACAGGAGAGGUAAGUGGAAUGCGUGGUGUAGCGGUGAAAUGCGUAGAUAUGAGGAGGAACGCCAGUGGCGAAGGCAGCUUACUGGACUGUAACUGACAUUGAGGCUCGAAAGCGUGGGUAGCAAACAGGAUUAGAGACCCGAGUAGUC
rnacentral:rRNA from 1 species